rnacentral:rRNA from 1 species
GACAGAGGGUGCAAACGUUGUUCGGAAUUACUGGGCGUAAAGCGCGUGUAGGCGGCCCUGCAAGUCGGGUGUGAAAUCCCAUGGCUCAACCAUGGAAGUGCACUCGAAACUGCAGGGCUAGAGUCCUGGAGAGGAAGGUGGAAUGCUUGGUGUAGAGGUGAAAUGCGUAGAUAUCAGGAGGAACACCGGUGGCGAAGGCGGCACUCUGGGUCGGCCCUGACGCUGAGGCGCGAAAGCGUGGGGAGCAAACAGG